rnacentral:rRNA from 1 species
UGAGGAAUAUUGGUCAAUGGGCGGGAGCCUGAACCAGCCAAGUCGCGUGAGGGAAGACGGUCCUAUGGAUUGUAAACCUCUUUUGUCGGGGAGCAAGGAUGUCCACGAGUGGAGAUUCAGAGAGUACCCGAAGAAAAAGCAUCGGCUAACUCCGUGCCAGCAGCCGCGGUAAUACGGAGGAUGCGAGCGUUAUCCGGAUUUAUUGGGUUUAAAGGGUGCGUAGGCCGGUUGUCAAGUCAGUGGUAAAAUUGAGAGGCUCAACCUCUUCGAGCCGUUGAAACUGGUGAUCUUGAGUGGGCGAGAAGUAUGCGGAAUGCGUGGUGUAGCGGUGAAAUGCAUAGAUAUCACGCAGAACUCCGAUUGCGAAGGCAGCAUACCGGCGCCCGACUGACGCUGAAGCACGAAAGCGUGGGUAUCAAACAGG